AGAAUAUCAAUUAUUAUAAACUAUCAUUUCCUCUGUAACAGCCCUCCAUUCAUGCCUCUCGCUAAUUACAAAAAGGGUGGUGCUUGAAUCCCAGCCAAAUUCCAGCACAGCCCACACCUGGCUAGAAUCAUGCUUUAUUUCUGGCUGUGGAGAGCAGGGAUUCUUCUGUAACCCUGUCCCUUUCUGGGGUAGGGGUCUCAGCUCUCCCCCUACAGCACCUGAACCUCCCCAAGAAGGAGGUGAAGGUUGGGAUUCGCAUUUCUGUACUAGAGACAGCAGAGCCAGCCCAGGACCUGCAGCACGUGCACAUUUACACCUUGUCCUCAUCCC
rnacentral:lncRNA from 1 species